GGGUCAGUAGGUCGGUCGUGCCACCGGUACGUACUGGUCUCACUGAUUCCUCCUUCCUGAAGAACCGUAAUGCCAUUAAUCUGGUGUUGCGGGGAAACAGGACUGUUACUUUGAAAAAAUUAGAGUGUUUAAAGCAAGCUAACGCUUGAAUACAUUAGCAUGGAAUAAUGAAAUAGGACGAUCGAUCCUAUUUUGUUGGUUUCUAGGAUUGACGUA
rnacentral:rRNA from 1 species